GUCCCGUUAGUCUAAUGGAUAAGACGAUGGAUUCCGGUUCCAUUAAUGUGGGUUCGAUUCCUAUACGGGACGCCA
rnacentral:tRNA from 1 species